rnacentral:misc_RNA from 1 species
GUGAAGAACGCAGCGAAAUGCGAUAAGUAAUGUGAAUUGCAGAAUUCAGUGAAUCAUCGAAUCUUUGAACGCACAUUGCGCCCGCCAGUAUUCUGGCGGGCAUGCCUGUUCGAGCGUCAUUUCAACCAUCAAGCCCCCCGGCUUGUGUUGGGGACCUGCGGCUGCCGCAGGCCCUGAAAAGCAGUGGCGGGCUCGCUGUCACACCGAGCGUAGUAGAUCUCAUCUCGCUCAGGGCGUGCUGCGGGUUCCGGCCGUUAAACCACCUUCAUAACCCAAGGUUGACCUCGGAUCAGGUAGGAAGACCCGCUGAACUUAAGCAUAUCAAUAAGCGGAGGA